rnacentral:rRNA from 1 species
GACGAACCGCCCGAACGUUAUUCGGAAUCACUGGGCUUAAAGGGAGCGUAGGCGGGCUGCCAAGUCCGGGGUGAAAUCCUCCAGCUUAACUGGAGAACUGCCUCGGAUACUGGAAGUCUCGAGGAGGGUAGGGGCAAGUGGAACCGUGGGUGGAGCGGUGAAAUGCGUUGAUAUCCAUGGGAACUCCGGUGGCGAAGGCGAACUUGCUGGACCCUUCUGACGCUGAGGCUCGAAAGCCAGGGAGCAACGGG